rnacentral:rRNA from 1 species
UACAGAGACUGCAAGCGUUAUUCGGAUUCACUGGGCGUAAAGGGUGCGCAGGCGGCCAAGUGUGUGAGGCGUGAAAGCCCGGGGCUUAACCCCGGAAUUGCACCUCAAACUACAUGGCUAGAGCAUUGGAGAGGGUAGCAGAAUUCAUGGUGUAGCAGUGAAAUGCGUAGAUAUCAUGAGGAAUACCAGAGGCGAAGGCGGCUACCUGGACAAUUGCUGACGCUCAGGCACGAAAAGCGUGGGGAUCAAACAGG